rnacentral:rRNA from 1 species
AUUGAACGCUGGCGGCAUGCCUUACACAUGCAAGUCGAACGGUAACGGGCCUUCGGGUGCCGACGAGUGGCGAACGGGUGAGUAAUACAUCGGAACGUGCCCGAUCGUGGGGGAUAACGAGGCGAAAGCUUUGCUAAUACCGCAUUCGAUCUACGGAUGAAAGCAGGGGACCGCAAGGCCUUGCGCGGACGGAGCGGCCGAUGGCAGAUUAGGUAGUUGGUGGGAUAAAAGCUUACCAAGCCGACGAUCUGUAGCUGGUCUGAGAGGAUGAUCAGCCACACUGGGACUGAGACACGGCCCAGACUCCUACGGGAGGCAGCAGUGGGGAAUUUUGGACAAUGGGCGCAAGCCUGAUCCAGCCAUGCCGCGUGCAGGAUGAAGGCCUUCGGGUUGUAAACUGCUUUUGUACGGAACGAAAAGCCUUCUUUUAAUACAGGAGGGUCAUGACGGUACCGUAAGAAUAAGCACCGGCUAACUACGUG